GUUAGGAUGGCCGAGCGUUCUUAGGCGCUGCGUACAGUUCAGAUCUGUUGGUGUGGGUUUGAAUCCCUCUUCUGACA